rnacentral:rRNA from 1 species
CCUACGGGAGGCUGCAGUGGGGGAUAUUGGACAAUGGGGGAAACCCUGACCCAGCGACGCCGCGUGAGUGAAGAAGUAUUUCGGUAUGUAAAGCUCUGUCAGCAGGGAAGAAAGAAAUGACGGUACCUGACCAAGAAGCCCCGGCUAACUACGUGCCAGCAGCCGCGGUAAUACGUAGGGGGCAAGCGUUAUCCGGAAUUACUGGGUGUAAAGGGAGCGUAUGCGGAUAUGCAAGUCUGGCGUGAAAGGCGGGGGCUCAACCCCCGGACUGCUCUGGAUACAGUGUAACUUGAGUGCAGGAGAGGUAGGCGGAAUUCCUAGUGUAGCGGUGAAAUGCGUAGAUAUUAGGAGGAACACCAGUGGCGAAGGCGGCUUACUGGACUGUAACUGACGUUGAGGCUCGAAAGCGUGGGGAGCAAACAGGAUUAGAUACCCGUGUAGUC